AACGCUGGCGGCGCGCUUAACACAUGCAAGUCGAACGAGAAAAGUGGAGCAAUCCCAUGAGUAAAGUGGCGUACGGGUGAGUAACACGUGGGUAAUCUACCUUUUGGUGGGGAAUAACCCUGGGAAACCGGGGCUAAUACCGCAUAAGCUCGAAAGAGGAAAAGAGAAAUUUGCCGAAAGAGGAGCCCGCGGCUGAUUAGCUAGUUGGUGAGGUAAAGGCUCACCAAGGCGAAGAUCGGUAGCCGGCCUGAGAGGGCACACGGCCACACUGGCACUGAAACACGGGCCAGACUCCUACGGGAGGCAGCAGUGGGGAAUCUUGCACAAUGGGGGCAACCCUGAUGCAGCGACGCCGCGUGAGCGAUGAAGCCCUUCGGGGUGUAAAGCUCUUUCGGCCCGAACGAUAAUGACGGUACGGGAAGAAGAAGCUGCGGCUAACUACGUGCCAGCAGCCGCGGUAAUACGUAGGCAGCGAGCGUUGUUCGGAGUUACUGGGCGUAAAGCGUGCGUAGGCGGUUUUGUAAGUUUGGUGUGAAAUCUCCCGGCUCAACUGGGAGGGUGCGCCGAAAACUGCAAGGCUGGAGUGUGGGAGAGGUAGGCGGAAUUCCUGGUGUAGCGGUGAAAUGCGUAGAUAUCAGGAGGAACACCUGUGGUGUAGACGGCUUACUGGACCAUGACUGACGCUGAGGCACGAAAGCGUGGGGUAGCAAACAG
rnacentral:rRNA from 1 species